rnacentral:rRNA from 1 species
UACGUAGGGUGCAAGCGUUGUCCGGAAUUAUUGGGCGUAAAGAGCUCGUAGGCGGUCUGUCGCGUCGGCUGUGAAAUCCCGGAGCUCAACUCCGGGUCUGCAGUCGAUACGGGCAGGACUGGAGUUCGGCAGGGGAGACUGGAAUUCCUGGUGUAGCGGUGAAAUGCGCAGAUAUCAGGAGGAACACCGGUGGCGAAGGCGGGUCUCUGGGCCGAUACUGACGUGGAGGAGCGAAAGCGUGGGGAGCGAACAGG